rnacentral:rRNA from 1 species
AGAGUUUGAUCAUGGCUCAGGAUGAACGCUGGCGGCGUGCUUAACACAUGCAAGUCGAACGAGCUAUUCUCUUCGGGGGAUAGCGAGUGGCGGACGGGUGAGUAACGCGUGGGUAACCUGCCCCAUACAGGGGGAUAACAGCUGGAAACGGCUGAUAAUACCGCAUAAGCGCACAGUAUCGCAUGGUACGGUGUGAAAAGCUCCGGCGGUAUGGGAUGGGCCCGCGUCUGAUUAGCCAGUUGGCGGGGUAACGGCCCACCAAAGCGACGAUCAGUAGCCGACUUGAGAGAGUGACCGGCCACAUUGGGACUGAGACACGGCCCAAACUCCUACGGGAGGCAGCAGUGGGGAAUAUUGCACAAUGGGCGAAAGCCUGAUGCAGCGACGCCGCGUGAGUGAGGAAGUAUUUCGGUAUGUAAAGCUCUAUCAGCAGGGAAGAAAAUGACGGUACCUGACUAAGAAGCCCCGGCUAAAUACGUGCCAGCAGCCGCGGUAAUACGUAUGGGGCAAGCGUUAUCCGGAUUUACUGGGUGUAAAGGGAGCGCAGGCGGCGAGGCAAGUCAGAAGUGAAAACCCGGGGCUCAACCCCGCGGAUUGCUUUUGAAACUGCCCGGCUGGAGUGCAGGAGGGGCAAGCGGAACUCCUAGUGUAGCGGUGAAAUGCGUAGAUAUUAGGAAGAACACCGGUGGCGAAGGCGGCUUGCUGGACUGUAACUGACGCUGAGGCUCGAAGGCGUGGGGAGCAAACAGGAUUAGAUACCCUGGUAGUCCACGCAGUAAACGAUGAAUACUAUGUGUCGG